rnacentral:rRNA from 1 species
AUGGCUUCGUUCCCCUUCGACCCUGCAUCAUUCCUCCCGGAAGGUUUCCAUGCGAUUGAUGUGGAAGGGCGGCCUGCGUGCCACCGUGUGCUCCAUGGCAAUCUUGUGCCAGCCAAUGAAGACCUUGCCAUUGCAACAAUCAUCCCCAUGCCCCAAGGAGAAGUAAGUUUUAUCAAUGUCCGUGAGAUCCUCCUAGAGUUUCUGCAGUCCAAGCGCAUUGGUGUCUCUGAUGUGACGAAGUCUCCUUUUGGGCAAGCUUAUGUGAUUGUUCGCGGUGCGGCCGAUAGGGAUUUUCUAGUUAAUAGAGGGCCGCAUGCCUAUGAUGACAUUCACAUCGUCUUUCAAAGGCACAACGAGGGUCUGAACUGGAAGAACUUUAAUUUGAUUGGAGAUGUGUGGCUCAUGGUGUUCGGUUUCCCUGUUGACUUGAGAAGUUUUCAUGAACUGUCUAAUGCUACUGCAAGUUUCAGGCAGCUUAUGUUCUGGGAUAGAUUCAAAUCUAGUGAUGCAGUUGUUGCCCUGAAAGUGAAGGUUGAUGCCCUCAAGGAUGUCCCGGCUAGUCUGGUUGUUUCUGGUGCCAAGAAUUUUAGUGGUCAGUCCUGGACCUGCCCUGUUGUGAUUGUGGAUGACAACCCUAUUGGAGUGCCACCUCCUGAUGAAGAUACAGUUCCCGAAGAUGGCAACCCUCAUCCAAGGCCACCAGAGCAAUUCCAUCACCCCAAUCAGAACAAUCUUAUGGUUGGGCCUGUUGCUUUUCACCUAUUGCAACCUGAGCAACAUAAUUUGCCAGUUAUUGAGGAAGCUCCAGCACAGGAUGAGGAAGAUGAAGGCUGGGGUCACUGGGCAAUGCCACAGCAACAACAGCUGGUGGAUGUGGAAAUUCAAGCUAGAGAAUUUCUAGAAUUAAAUGAUUUGAUGGGACCUCUUGAAAUGCAUGUUGAGCAGCCAGAAGAUGAGUACAGUGGUCUCACUUAA